UACAUUCGAAACUAAUAUACUUUACUAAUGUCCUGAAAAAAACAUAACACUUACUCCAAGUGUAAGUACACAUCAUCGCUGAUUAUCACAUUAGUGUAAAUCCAAUAACACUGAUGAAACAGGGACCAAGUCUUUUGAUUCAUAUGAUCACAAUCACAUUCCACUGUGUUGACGAUACUGUAAUUGUGAAUAAACAUAUGAUCUGGAUUUAACUGAUUCUGUGUGUAAAAGUAAUAAACAUAUUUAAACCAUUAGCAUGUAGAAUUCAUGCAAACAUCAAUCACUUCAAAUUUCUUGUGUUGAUAACUAAUCAGAUUGUAAAGAGUUUUAUUUAGGGCAUAACCGAACAUUUAUUAGAGAGUUGUGAGGCUAUUUAGAUACUGAAUAUUUGCAUAAAGAUGGACGAUUCUAAACUGGCAAGGUCUUAAUAUCUUUCAUAUAAAAAUAAAAAUAUAAAAUAGUUUAAGUUCAGUUCAUUUUAAAUUUUUGAAAUCAUUCUUAUUCACUGAACUGUUCCACUUAGAUAGAUUUUUCUGUUUUUUUGUUUUUGUUUAAAUAUGAAUAUGAAUAUGAAUUUGAAUUAGAAUUUAUUUUUUGUAUUAAAUAAAUAUACAUUUGUUUUCUAUUUAAAAGUUAUUUCAAUUAUAUUUAAAUUAGUAUUUUUUUUUUAAUUUUUUGAAGCAGCUAGAUAUUUUUAGUUAGGCCUAUAAAUAUCACCAUGAAUUUAGGAAGCAGUUUUAUGCGUACAAGCUUUUAUACGCAUUCUUAUUUAUUUUUGCCUCUAUCAGUUGACACAAGUAAACUUCUGUUAUUUCUCAGUAAAGUCUGCAAUCCUAAUGUUACACAAUUGGCCAUCCUUCUUCCUCAGCAAAGCUCUUAUUUGAAGACCAAAACUUGGUAUAUAUCCUUGUCUGUCUAUACUAACAUUUCAAAUUAUUAUUUUCUAUUUUAUUACUGUGUACUACAUUACUAUUUUCUAUUUUUUCUUAAUGCAAUCAAUGAUGUUCUUUAGAUGUUUUACUAUUUCCUAAGUCCUAUUGGCUUUUUUAUUUCUUUGGUGUUUGAGAAGUCUCUGCAAUUUGAAUUGGAAUUUAUUUGUUGUAUUAAAUAAAUAUACAUUUUGAAUAGAAUUGGAUGUGGAGCGUUUGUAUGGUCAUUGUCAUUUUUUAUUUACAAUGUCGUUCUUCUUGUAGGUUGCUGCCAUUUAAUGUCGGUUUAGAUUAUUUGUGUCGUACUCUCCAUUUGAAUAUCAGGUAUUUUUUUACUCAUAUUAAUUUAUAUUUAUUAAUGUAUUUACUGUGAUGUAUUUACUCAUAUUAUUUUUUGUGUGAAAAUUGUUAAUUUGAUUGUUUUGCAUAACUAAGUUUCUGUAGGAAUUUUAAUUAAUCAUCCGGUUCUUAUAAUUUAAAGUUAGGGAAGAAAUUUUCUAAGCCAGUCCAUGAGUUCGUUUCGUUUAAGAACUUGUCAUCUGACAAAUACUCCAACACACCACAAGAUACCAUAGGAGUAGCUGUCAAAAUAAAUCCAACAAAAGUGGUGAACACAGUGUAUGGACAGCGAACCAUACAAGAAAUUUAUCUAAUCGAUGACAGUUGUAGCUUCCACCCGAUAUGUUUAACUCUGUGGGGUGCUUUGGUACAAGAUAUUAGUGAAAAAUUGUCUGAAGUUACUGAAAACAACCCAAUAAUAAUGGGAACAAAGAUGAUUGUUCAAACUAAGAGAGGACUGUCGUUGUCAAGCCGUGAAUCAAGUACAAUCGAAAUCAAUCCUGACAAUUACGAAGCAACUACUCUUCAUCAAUGGGCUGAAAAUAACAAAGCAGACAUAAAUAAUAUUACUAUUCAAGCACCUACAUAUCCGUAUUCUCCAAAUUCAUCUGCUGCAAAACGAGAAUAUGUUAAGAACAACGAAGUUACCGAUUUGGUAAAGCAAUUAAAACCAACUAAGGUAAAAAGAAGAUAUAUAGUACUACUUAACACUUUUAAAUGUAUAAUAUAUAUUGCUUAGUAAUUACUAAUUACUAUCUUGAUUUUUGUCUUUAUACUCUUUGCUGUUUAUUAUGUAUUUAUACUCUUUGCUGUUUGUUUUCAUACUAUUUGAUGUUUACUAAUCACCUACCCAUACUUGUGUUGUUUAUUCUUGGGGCUGUAUUGGAACUCAUUUUCACACUACUUGUUUGUGGUUAUUAUAUUUAACAGUCUAGAACAAGAAAAAUAAAGUUAUAUAUUCGAUUGUCAUUGCUCCUAUUUUAUUAUUACUAACCAAUUCAGACUGUAUAAUUAGUAUAGUUAUUUAUUUAUUUUAGGUGUUUUAAGAGCUUAAUAAUAUUGAAUUAAUUAAAAAUCAUUGAUUUUUUUGUAAUUAAUAUACACAAAAAAAUUAAUUAAAAAUCAUUGAUUUUUUUUUUUUGUACUUAAUAUAAUAUUGAAUUCUAUUACAUACAUAGUUUUUUUUUUGUUUGCAGAAAGCAUAUUAUUGGAUUGAAGCUGAAAUCAUAUUAAAAAAUAUCAAUCAAGAUUUUUAUUACAUGUCGUGUGAUUUUUGUAAUAAGAAACUUAUGUUCUACAACGACAACGAAGAAACAGAUUGUGAAAAUCCAAAAUGCAGAAAAAGAUGUCUUCCUACACCACGGUAAGCACAUCAUAACUAAAUUAAUAUUUGAACUUAUUGCAUAUUCAUACAAACCGUUACAUAUUCUGUAUAAAUUAUUAGUGCAAGGACAUAUGUACAACUCGACGAUAGUACAAAGUUGCUAGAUGCUGUGAUGUUCGGCGAUGUUGCAGAAAACAUAUUCUCAUGUACUGCAGUUCAAUUAAGAUCAUAUUUGGACGAGGUAACUAUAAAAAAAUAAAUAUGUAAAAUUUAUACAUUUUCAUACAUAGAAAUACAUUACAACUUAUAACUAAUCAUUUUUUUUAUAGAAACAUAAGUUGUUUGUCCAAAAAACUACGAAGCAAUUAUCAGCUAAAAAUGGAGAAUUCAGUUGUACGCAGAUGCAAACCGAACAAUGAGUUCAGGGCCGGCCCUGAAAUGUAGUGGGCUAUAGGGUAAAAAUUAUUUUUUGGGCCCUUAUUUAGAAAAAAAAAAUGGUAUUUUCCAAAAUCAGCAAAAAAAUUGUGUAAUUUUAAAAGGGCAAAAUUUUUUUUUUUGGCCCCUGGACUAGGUGGGCCCUAGGCACAGGCCUAGCCCGCCUAUGCCCAGGGCCGACCCUGAAUGAGUUCAAAGUACAAUCAAUUCACCAUUCAAGCACUUGAACUAAUGGAAGAUUAGGCAGAAGUUACCCUUUUUUUUUACAGUAAUUUUAUUUUAUUUAGUGUUGAGACUUUUCUUGGUGCCGAGCUUCUUUUUCUUUCUCUUGACUUGUUAUUUAUGAAUUUACAUGGAGUAGUGUAUGCAAGUAUUUCAUAUACCCAAUUUUCUAGA